rnacentral:rRNA from 1 species
GACGAACGCUGGCGGCGUGCUUAACACAUGCAAGUCGAACGGAAAGGCCCUGCUUUUGUGGGUUGCUCGAGUGGCGAACGGGUGAGUAACACGUGAGUAACCUGCCCUUGACUUUGGGAUAACUUCAGGAAACGGGGGCUAAUACCGGAUAGGAGCUCCUGCUGCAUGGUGGGGGUGGGAAAGUUUCGGCGGUUGGGGAUGGACUCGCGGCUUAUCAGCUUGUUGGUGGGGUAGUGGCUUACCAAGGCUUUGACGGGUAGCCGGCCUGAGAGGGUGACCGGCCACACUGGGACUGAGAUGCGGCGCAGACUCCUACGGGAGGCAGCAGUGGGGAAUAGUGCACAAUGGGCGGAAGCCGGAUGCAGCAACGCCGCGUGCGGGAUGACGGCCUUCGGGUUGUAAACCGCUUUCGCCUGUGACGAAGCGUGAGUGACAGUAAUGGGUAAAGAAGCACCGGCUAACUACGUG